UCCCUGGUGGCCUAGCUGGUUACGGCGUCCGACUGUUACUGCUUCAUAGCAGCGGCAUAUCGGGAGAUCGACAGUUCGAUCCUGUCUCGGGGAG
rnacentral:tRNA from 1 species